CAAACGCCGUUCGCAGUCGUGUCUUCGGGUCGUAUAAAUAAUAUUUUAGUUAAAUAAUAUCGCUGUGUCUAUGUGCUGAUAACGGAUAUACGAUUUUAAAGUCAAUCAUGUUACUCGCGGCGUGCUUGGUUUUUCUCUUGAGCUGUCAAACGGGAUCUUCUCAGAACUUGGGUGACGCCUGUGUGAUAGAGGACACAAACCGAGCUGGUGUCUGCAAGCAAGCUUCCAAAUGUGACUCCGCUCGGGCAGCUUACCAAAACAACGGUAUCAAGCCGACCUUUUGUUCACUGACC